GUGGAGAAAAUUUUAUGACGAUUUGCAAAGUUUCAUGCUUUCUCCGUGACUCAAAAAUGCUUCAUUUGUUUUCUUCCAGUUUAGUCUCUUUUUUUCCCUGUUUCUUGCAGAAACCAGUCGAGUUAUAUAUAGCUUAUAGCCAAUAAAUCUGAUAAGUGUCAAUCAACAACCUCUUACUUGUUUAUCAAACGGUGUCAUUUACUUGUUUGUUUCUGCUUGGAGCUUGGUCUUAAAGUUAGAUUGUUUUGAAGAUUCGUGUAGAUUAGAUAGUCACGUUGAAUUUUUGAAGAUGGUUUAGUAAUGGCAGAUGGCUCGUGAGCUGGGUUUUUACUUUAUCCUUAUGAAUCUAGUGGAGGAGGAAAGACUUGACCUGUUUUUUGCGGUUGGACAUUAAUUUUAUCAACUCUCCUUAUUGCAAGUCUUUUAAUGUGGAAUCAUUCUCCUCUCUUCUUCCAACUUGCCUGAUCAUUUCAUAGUCACAGAUUGUUUCCCACAAGAUCCCUUGUGAAACCUUUAUCAAGAUUUGCCACUUAUGCUGUAGAUUUGUUGUCUUUUGGGGUUUGUAGAUUUUCUUAAGCUCUGUUAAAAAUGGGAUGCUUUGCAUCAACGCCGAAAGAAACUGGUGGCAACAGAAGAAAGCCAACAAGCAUCGGUGAGGUUUCAGUAUAUGUACCUGGUUUAAGGAUACCCAGAGCUGUGGAUUUUUUGCAGUCCCUUGGUGAUCAGUUACCCAAGGCUCUAGUGGAACGCUUGACAGCUUUAAGAACGCGUAUAGUAGUGAUGGCUAAUCAAGAAGGACCUACAAUAACAAGAACUAGGAGAAAAACACAACAUGGUUCAACGCUCUCGGAUCUCCAUCAAGCUUUGGUAGAUUAUCUACCUGUUCUCUUGGGAUUAAGUAAAGAUGGUAGCCAUCUACAGUUUAAAGUACCAUUUAAUUGGGUAAAUCAGGAAGAUGAGGAAGAGGAAACAGAGAUGUCAAACGUUUGGUAUGAAGUUUUAUCCGUUUUGCAUCUAAUGGCAAUGCUACAAAUGUCUCAAGCCAAUUUACUGCUUCUUCCUAGAGGUUCUAGUGAUGGUCACAACCAUCCAAAAGUUUCAGAAGAAAACAGACGAGCUUCGAUUGAUAUCUUCUUAAAAGCAGCUGGAUAUCUUGAUUGUGCUGUUAAGCAUGUACUCCCUCAGUUUUCUGCUGAACAAAGGAGAAUUUUACCGGUUGAUUUAGGGGAAGGAGUUCUACGGGCCCUUUGCUUGCAGGCACUUGGCCAGGGUGUUGAUAUCCAACUUGGCAUGGCGAUUGAUAGCUCGAAGGCCACUCUCGCAGUAAAACGAAGACUUUCAUGUGAAAUGGUGAAAUAUUGGCAGCAAGCACAAGAUAAUCUAAUGAAUCUUCCAUUAGCGAACGGCUGGGGAGAAAAGCAUGGACUCUUUGUUAAGUGGAAGUAUGUUGAAGCUAAGGCUGCGGCUUACUACUAUCACGGUUUGAUUCUUGAUGAAGGAAACACAGAGAAAUCACAUGGCAUGGCAGUUGCAGCUUUACAAGCUGCAGAUGAAUGUUUCAAAGAAAGUAAGAAAGCAUCCGAAGCAUUCAACAUCUCUUCACCUACUUCAAGAACACCGCCACUUAUUGGAACAAUGAAGUAUCUAACCGAGAAAAUCCCGAAAGAUACUUCGAGUAAAGUCAGGAUAAACCGUGAUCUAUACUCUUAUGAAAAAAUCAUGGAGACAGCACCAACACUUCCUGAUUUCGCUUUGGCAUUGAAACCAGAUGAAUAUCAACUUCCUCUCGUUGAAGCUUCGUAGUCUGAAGAUGCUCAAAAUGCUUCAAACCAAGUUUACCAGCAAUCGAUGAUAAAGAUGUGUAAAACUUAUAGAGCCAAAAAAAAGAAAUCAGUGGUUCCCAAUGGCUACCUGCAAGAUUAUGGUUGCUGGUAAGACAAGGUUUAACUUGGAGCUUAAAGCUUAAAGCAACAUAGAAAGUACUGGAAAUUCUGGAAUAACACAGAAUCUAGAGGAGAUGAUGAAGAUUCUUUCAGAGAACAACAAGAUCAACAGAUUCAGCACUGGUUCGGUUUUUGUUUUUAGCCAGAGCUUCGUUUCAAAAAGUUAUAACAAGAUGAUGUAAAUUUUGUAUGUCCUACCAGAUUACCAGUUAUUUUAUAGAAAUUGUAAUGUGAAUUUUCA